rnacentral:misc_RNA from 1 species
UCCGGCUUAUCACCGGCAGUUUCUUUAGAGUGCCCAGCAUUACCUGAUGGCAACUAAAGACGAGGGUUGCGCUCGUUGCGGGACUUAACCCAACAUCUCACGACACGAGCUGACGACAGCCAUGCAGCACCUGUGUGGUAGCCACCCGAAGUGAAAGAAUCCAUCUCUGGAAACUAAACUACCCAUGUCAAGGCCUGGUAAGGUUCUUCGCGUUGCCUCGAAUUAAACCACAUGCUCCACCGCUUGUGCGGGUCCCCGUCAAUUCCUUUGAGUUUUAAUCUUGCGACCGUACUUCCCAGGCGGAGUGCUUAACGCGUUAGCUACGACACUGAAGCCUAAGGCCCCAACGUCUAGCACUCAUCGUUUACGGCGUGGACUAC